ensembl:snRNA Gm25599 predicted gene, 25599
GCUCUCUUUGGUAGCACAUAUAUUAAAAUUGGAAUGAUACAGAGAUUAGCAUGGCUCCUGCACAAGGACAUUAACUUUUAUAAAUAAUAGCAUUCUUGU